CCUACGGGUGGCAGCAGUGAGGAAUAUUGGUCAAUGGACGGAAGUCUGAACCAGCCAUGCCGCGUGCAGGAAGACGGCUCUAUGAGUUGUAAACUGCUUUUGUACAAGGGUAAACCUGAAUACGUGUAUUCAGCUGAAAGUACUGUACGAAUAAGGAUCGGCUAACUCCGUGCCAGCAGCCGCGGUAAUACGGAGGAUUCAAGCGUUAUCCGGAUUUAUUGGGUUUAAAGGGUGCGUAGGCGGAUGGAUAAGUUAGAGGUGAAAUGUCCGAGCUUAACUCGGGAACUGCCUCUUAUACUGUUGGUCUAGAGAGUAGAUGCGGUAGGCGGAAUGUAUGGUGUAGCGGUGAAAUGCUUAGAGAUCAUACAGAACACCGAUUGCGAAGGCAGCUUACCAAUCUAUAUCUGACGUUGAGGCACGAAAGCGUGGGGAGCAAACAGGAUUAGAUACCCUAGUAGUC
rnacentral:rRNA from 1 species